CUGGCUCAGGAUGAACGCUGGCGGUCUGCUUAACACAUGCAAGUCGAACGCAACCUUCGGGUUGAGUGGCGGACGGGUGAGUAACGCGUGAGAAUCUGCCUUGGGGUCGGGGACAACCACUGGAAACGGUGGCUAAUACCGGAUAAGCCUUUGGGUAAAAGAUUUAUUGCCCCAAGAGGAGCUCGCGUCUGAUUAGCUAGUUGGUGAGGUAAGAGCUCACCAAGGCAGCGAUCAGUAGCUGGUCUGAGAGGACGAUCAGCCACACUGGGACUGAGACACGGCCCAGACUCCUACGGGAGGCAGCAGUGGGGAAUUUUCCGCAAUGGGCGAAAGCUUGACGGAGCAAGACCGCGUGAGGGAGGAAGGCUCUUGGGUUGUAAACCUCUUUUCUCAGGGAAGAAGCUCUGACGGUACCUGAGGAAUCAGCCUCGGCUAACUCCGUGCCAGCAGCCGCGGUAAUACGGAGGAGGCAAGCGUUAUCCGGAAUUAUUGGGCGUAAAGCGUCCGCAGGUGGCGAUUCAAGUCUGCUGUCAAAGCACGGGGCUUAACUCCGUUAAGGCAGUGGAAACUGAAUAGCUAGAGUGCCGUAGGGGUAGAGGGAAUUCCCGGUGUAGCGGUGAAAUGCGUAGAGAUCGGGAAGAACAUCGGUGGCGAAAGCGCUCUACUGGACGGCAACUGACACUCAGGGACGAAAGCUAGGGGAGCGAAUGGGAUUAGAUACCCCAGUAGUCCUAGCUGUAAACGAUGGAUACUAGGUGUAGCUUGUAUCGACCCGAGCUGUGCCGAAGCUAACGCGUUAAGUAUCCCGNCUGGGGAGUACGCACGCAAGUGCGAAACUCAAAGGAAUUGACCGGGGCCCGCACAAGCGGUG
rnacentral:rRNA from 1 species